CUUCGACCCGUCGGCCAUGACCAGGGCAAAAGAACUUGGAAAUUGGACAUUGUGCUAUUUAUAUAAACAGCCAAAACCCUCACUAAUUUUAGCCCGGAAAGGGAGAAUGAGAAGGAAUCAGAGAGAAAAAUGGGAUUUUCAGCAAAGGGUGGUUGCCCUCUCUCUGGUUUAUGUCCAUUGUUUCUCCAUUCUUGAAAAACUAACAACCCUUUGAAGAAAAAAGAAAAGGAAAAUAUACAACAGCUGAUUUGCACAAAUAGCCAUUCUCGUCAACAGAAAGGUUUUCUCCGUCAAUUUGGUUCUUGACUCUAUACAAUCAGCCAAAACCUCUUGAAUCUCUAGAAAAUAGGAGCUAUUAUGCUCUUCCUUUUUCUGCUUCUGCUGAUUUUGCACAAAUACCCGCUUUUAUGUCCCUUUGUAUUUACAAGGUGACAACUGAUUUGCACAAAUAGGAUACUGAAAUGGGCUGUGAUGAUGAUUUGCUUCUUUCUUUCUGAGCUAUAUAUACUUUACAUGCGUUGAGAAAAAUCCGACCCGUAUCGUUGUGGGGCUACCCGUGUAUGGCAAUAAUUUGCAAACCGGUGUCUUGCAGCCAUGGCGUGUGUCUCCUUUCUCUUUGCAUGUCCAUGGGACAUACAGCAAAAUCUGAGCCCUAGAUACCCAUUUUGUUUUUUUUUUCUUUUCUGCAGAUGCAGUUUCCCAUCAAUUUUUUAGCUCAAAAGUUGAGGCACUUGGAGAAAAAGAAAAAGGAUUUUUAGCUCAAAAAAUUAGGCCAUUGGAGAAAAAAUGAACUUUUUGGCUUAAAAAUUUGAGGCAAUUGGAGAAACAUGGGAUUUUUAGCUUAAAAACGAGGUAAUUGAAGAAAAAAAUGGGGGUUUUUAAGCUCAAAAAAUGAGGGAACAUCUCCAGCAUGCCUAUGAUUGCUAGUUACUGUUAGCUCUAACCAACAGCCCUUUUUGUAUGGGAAAAAAUUCCAAAUUUACCCACAACUAGCAAAAUGGUCUACUUUGAGAAAAUCCGACCCGUAUCUUGGCAGGGCAAACCGUGUGUGGUAAUAAUUUGCAAACCGGUGUCUGCAGCCGUGGCGUGUGUCUGCUUUUUCUUUGCAUGUUCAUACUGGGAGAAAUUCAAAAAUAGCCAGAUUUAUAAGUGGUAAUCGAAAAAUAGCCACAGUUUCAAAAGUAAUCGGUGCUCAAGUUCAUACACAGGUGAUAUUAUGGUGGAACUUUCGUGUGUUGCAGCAAAAUAGAGGUUAUUUUUCAAUGACUUUACAAAUGAUGGCAAUUUUUCAAUUACCGGUCCGAAAAUUGGCUAGUCCGUGCUAUUUUAUACAGAGCAAAAUUUGAGCCUUAAAUCUUUUAGCUCAUAGAAUGAGGCAAUCGAAGAAAAAUGGGAUUUUCUAGGUACUUGACAAUUUCUGCCAUGCCUACGAUUUCUAAUUUGCUCUAAUCAACUAAAUAUUUGCAUGUGUGUGUAUUGUAUGUCUGUUUUGUCUCUCUAUCUGUGACUACUUUGCUCCUGCGUUUUAGGCAAAGCAUAGAUAAGAGAGGGACUUUCCAAGAUUCGAACACAGGACUUCUUGUUUGGUGAAACCCUUUUUUUUGUAUAGCCAUGUUGUUGUUUCUAAUGCUGGAAUUGCUUCUGUUUGUGCUGUUUGCUGUUAUUGCUGCUGUUGGGCUGUUUUAUGAACCAAACAGCAAGGGAUCAAUGUAACCAAAGGGGGAAGUUAAGGCUGUGAUGGUAAUGCCAAGGAGGGGUUCUUCCCUUGCCCUAAGUAUGGUUUUCUGAUAUACUCAAGAAAAUGCCUCGAUUGAAACAUCAUGGCAUGGUAACCUGGAGAGGUUGCAGCCAUGGCGGGGUAACCUGGCGAGAUUGUAGGGUACAUGAUGCGCAUCUAUAUAUGUUUUUUAUUGGAAAAUAUCGAAGCCGGGUCCCUACUGUGGCAGGGUACUAUUCUUCCACUAGACCACUUGUCCUUCUUAACAUGAUGAGCAUGUAUAUUGUCCGGAAACUAGGGGUAUCAAUGGUUCGGCCAGGCCAGUUAUUUUACAAUGAGAUCCAUAUUUUUGGGAGGUUCAAAAGGAUUAGAGAACUAUAAAUCUCAUUAGUUCAAGUCUGAGUCUACUGGGUUCAGAGUGUUGUGGGGAGCUGUUUGAGUGGUUGCCCCUCUCUGUCAUUCCUAGCAGCCAAUGAUCACUCAAUAUUUCCCAAUUUCGGACCACCCUUUAGCAAUAUAAGUUCGACGAGCCAGUGAAGAUUUUCACUCUUACUCAUCAGAUGGUUGAGCUUUGCUAAAUCUUGGCGUGGAGCUUUUGGUUGGUCUUGUGAGAUAUGGGAGCUAUUUGGUAAGGGGACCAGCGCUUCUACUCCUCCACCGAGGAGCCGUUCUUGCGAGAAGCAAGGGAUGUCGUGAACGGUGGGAGGUCACAGAGAAUUGACCUAUUCAUAGAGUGAUCCUAUGAUCGAUACAGGAUAUAGACUAUCUCAUUCUUUAUUCUAUUCUAUUUCUGAAAGAAAAAAAAAAAGAAGGGUGACUCAACUUCUCAGCUAGAGUUGGUGGUGGGACCUGUUGGCAUAAUGCACGCUGGAACGUGGGAAUUCGAGGUCUCAUGAACUACUACUAAAAACCUACUUUGUUUUUGUUUUGUUUGUGGACAAACAAAAAAGAAGGGUGACUCAACUUCUCUUGCGUGUCUCACAAAGGCUUCUCAUUAAGAUUGCAGCCAUGACGGCGUUUAGCUUAUGCUUGAGAAGAGGCUAAUCUUAGCCUCCCAAGUAUCUGUAUAUUUUCAAAGGAGGCUUUUUAUGGAAGUCGAGAAAGGUUGAGAUUUUCUAAGGGUGGUUAGUCUCUUCCUCUGAAGUUCAGUAUAGCCGAUGAAUUUUGCAGUACUAUUGUAAAAAAGAUAAAGAAUAACAGCCCUAUCAUCAGCUAAUGCCAAUUAUGCUCUUGAUGACGACGACGACGAUGAUAGCCAUGGUUAUGGCAAGCAAACAACAAACAACAACAAAACCAAUGUAAUCCCACAUGUGGCGUUUUGGGAGGAGGGUAUACGCACACCUUACCCCUACCUGGUGAAGGUAGAUAAGCAUGGUUAUUCCAAUAAGGAAAAUACAUAUUCUGCCCCCUAAGCUUGUCCAGGAGAACCUGAAUCCUUAACCCGGAACUUUGUGAUGAGGCUAUGAUGAUAUCUCCCAAAAGCUUGAAAAUGAGAUUUUUGAGCUGAUUGGUAUCUUGGCUAGGCAAAGGCAGGGAAUUUGUGAGGUAGGUACUUAUGUGCUUCUCAUGAAGGCAUCUGCUUUUUGCAGCCAUGUCGGAUUAGCCCUUCUCUUUUGAUAGCAGUACUAAGUACGCCUUGCAUUCCAAUUUAUGUGAACUGAAAAUGUCCAAAUUGCUAUUGAGAAGUUUCCAUCUUCCAAAGAGGCAGUGAUAUUAUUGCUAUCCUAAGCUUAAAUUGGAGGCAUGGAGAAAACCGACUCGUAUCUUGGCAAGGCAAACCAGGAUCAUGCAACUGAUUCAUUUUGAAGCCAUGGCGUUGUCGUCUUCUCUUUGCCCCAUUUUACACAGAUCUGAGCCCCAACCCCCAGUAGGAAGAAUGAGGUAUCAAAGAGAGAAAUGGGAUUUUCAGCAAAAGGGUGGUUGCCCUCUCUCUGGUUUAUGUCCAUGGUUUCUCCAUUCUUGGAAAACUAACAACCCUUUGAAGAAAAAAGAAAAGGCAAAUAUACAACAACUGAUUUACAAAUAGCCAUUCUCGUCAACAGAAAGGUUUUCUCCGUCAAUUUGGUUCUUGACUCUACAUAAUCAGCCAAAACCUCUUGAAUCUCUAGAAAAUAGGAGCUAUUAUGCUCUUCCUUUUUCUGCUUCUGCUGAUUUUGCACAAAUACCCGCUUUUAUGUCCCUUUGUAUUUACAAGGUGACAACUGAUUUGCACAAAUAGGAUACUGAAAUGGGCUGUGAUGAUGAUUUGCUUCUUCCUUUCUGGACUAUAUCUACUUUUCAAGCGUUCAGAAAAUCCGACCCGUAUCUUGGCGGGGCGACCCGUGUAUGGCAAUAAUUUGCAAACCGGUGUCUUGCAGCCAUGGCGUGUGUCUGCUUUCUCUUUGCAUGUUCAUGGGAUAUACAGCAAAAUCUGAGCCCUAGAUACCCAUUUUGGGUUUUUUUUCUUUUCUGCAGAUGCAGUUUCCCAUCAAUUUUUUAGCUGAAAAGUUGAGGCACUUGGAGAAAAAGAAAAAGGAUUUUUAGCUCAAAAAAUUAGGCAAUUGGAGAAAAAAUGAACUUUUUGGCUAAAAAAUUGAGGCAAUUGGAGAAACAUGGGAUUUUUAGCUUAAAAACGAGGUAAUUGAAGAAAAAAAUGGGGGUUUUUUAAGCUUAAAAAAAUGACGGAACAUCUCCAGCAUGCCUAUGAUUGCUAGUUACUGUCAGCUCUAACCAACAGCCCUUUUGGUAUGGGAAAAAAAUUCCAAAUUUACCCACAACUAGCAAAAUGUUCUACUUUGAGAAAAUCCGACCCGUAUCUUGGCAGGGCAAACCGUGUGUGGUAAUAAUUUGCAAACCGGUGUCUGCAGCCAUGGCGUGUGUCUGCUUAAUCUUUGCAUGUUCAUACUGGGAGAAACUCAAAAAUAGCCAGAUUUGUAAGUGGUAAUCGAAAAAUAGCCACAUUUUCAAAAGUAAUCGAAAUUUAGUUACUUUUCAUGUAAAGGUAAAUCUAAACAAAAACAUUGUUCAAAAUCUGAAAAAUAUUCCCGUAUAUUUACGGGAGAUCAAAUUUUUUAAAUGUGAACUGCUCGCACAAUAUACUGAAGUUCAUACACAGGUGCUCAAGUUCAUACACAAGUGAUCCAAUCUCCAGUAUAUUAUAAUAUGCUGGAGCAACAUAGAGGUUAUUUUUCAAUGACUACAAUUGCUGGCUAUUUUUCAAUUACCAGUCCGAGAAUUGGCUAGCUCAGAGCAAAAUUUGAGCCCUGAAUCUUUUAUCUCAAAGAAUGAGGCAAUCGAAGAAAAAUGGCAUUUUUCUAGGUACUUGACAAUUUCUGCCAUGCAUACGCUUUCUAAUUUGCUCUAAUCAACAGAAUAUUUGCAUGUGUGUGGAUUGUAUGUCUAGUUUUGUCUCUAUCUGUGACUACUUUGCUCCUGCGUUUUAGGUAAAGCAUAGAUAAGAGGACACAGGACCUCUUGUUUGGUGAAACCCAUGUCAUUUUGUAUAGCCAUGUUGUUGUUGCUGAUGCUGUAAUUGCU
rnacentral:lncRNA from 1 species